CUUGGACAAUCUCGCGUAACCCGAGAAACGUUCAAGGGACAUCGUGGUAUGCGCAGAUGGUUCCGUAAUAAUCCGUGAAGGAUCAGAAUGCAUCGGAGGCGAUACUCGUUUGUGUGACCUCGUCUAGGGCCACGAAUUUCUCUUUCCAUUUGACUUCUCUCCAUGUGAAUACGUCGCUUGAUUGAUUUCAUAUAUCUGGAGUUUCAUCGAACUAGCGAUAUUCUUUUCACGUGGGUAUACGGAGUAAUCUAACAACUGACAGUGGAUGCCAUGCAAUUUUGUCUUCCCUGGAGUGGCUGCGUUCACGCGGAUUUUGCCUCUUCGUCCCCGAGGGCUUCUCCUUUCACGCCGAGUUAAUAAUCAUAGGGGUUCGCGUGUCGCGGACAUUGCGCUUCACAUGCAAAUCGGACAAUCACGCGUGAUACUGCAGAGAGAAUCCGAGCUGGUGCUGCAUUAUAUUAUUAUACAUGUGUCUGUCCAUGAGUGAAUCUAUCCACGGUCCCUCUAUUUCUAACUCUCUCUCUCUCUCUCUCUCUCUCUCUCUCUCUCUCUCUCUCUCUCUCUCUCUCUCUCUCUCUCUCUCUC